CUUGUGUGGGAAGAGGAACUCCCAGACCUAAUGGAACCGGCGCAAUGGCUGGCGUUCGCUAGGGUGCACACAUCAAGAACCUUUAGCCCUAAUGCACUCUAUGGUGACAUGAGGGCGGCCUGGAACCCGGCUAAGGCGGUAGUCUGUAGGAAGAUCAGGGAGAACCUAUUCACAGCGCAGUUUGGGUGCCUUGCAGAUUGGAAGAAAGCUAUGCUAGAUGGUCCAUGGCUGUUUAGGGAUCAGGCUGUGAUUUUGGAGGAAUAA
rnacentral:rRNA from 1 species